AUUUGAACAAGAACUGCUUUAUUUUGAAAUGUUCUGUCGACGUCAAUAAACGAAGCAACAUGGCUAUUUCACCCAGCCGAGACAGAGGCUAAUUUCGUCACUCAGAAUUGGUUAUGAAAGAAGUACCGGGAUCAAUCACUGGUUACCAUGGAGACAAAACCAGCCAUUCAGUAGGGAGGACUGCACAUGAAUUCGCAGUGGUUUUGACAGCACGUCCAGUCGAGAUGCUGUCACCUGCCGCAAUGCCUGUGGUUCUGUGAUUCGUGACCUACUAAAAUAUCAAAUGUUAGAGUGAACUGGAGCCUAUCCCUGCUGACUUUUUGGUUAGAGGCAGGGUACAACCUGGACUGGCCACCAGUCAAUCACAGGGCAUAUAGAGACUAUAUAGAUAGGUCUUUUCGCAACAGAAGAUUGAUGUCUUCUCUCACUC